GAUGAAGAACGCAGCGAAAUGCGAUAAGUAAUGUGAAUUGCAGAAUUCAGUGAAUCAUCGAAUCUUUGAACGCACAUUGCGCCCGCCAGUAUUCUGGCGGGCAUGCCUGUUCGAGCGUCAUUUCAACCAUCAAGCCCCCGGCUUGUGUUGGGGACCUGCGGCUGCCGCAGGCCCUGAAAACCAGUGGCGGGCUCGCUAGUCACUCCGAGCGUAGUAAUACAUCUCGCUCAGGGCGUGCUGCGGGUUCCGGCCGUUAAAAAGCCUUAUUUACCCAAGGUUGACCUCGGAUCAGGUAGGAAGACCCGCUGAACUUAAGCAUAUCAAUAACGGAGGA
rnacentral:misc_RNA from 1 species